rnacentral:rRNA from 1 species
AACGAACGCUGGCGGCAUGCCUAACACAUGCAAGUCGAACGAACCCUUCGGGGUUAGUGGCGCACGGGUGCGUAACGCGUGGGAAUCUGCCCUUGGGUUCGGAAUAACAGUUAGAAAUGACUGCUAAUACCGGAUGAUGUCUUCGGACCAAAGAUUUAUCGCCCAGGGAUGAGCCCGCGUAGGAUUAGGUAGUUGGUGGGGUAAAGGCCUACCAAGCCGACGAUCCUUAGCUGGUCUGAGAGGAUGAUCAGCCACACUGGGACUGAGACACGGCCCAGACUCCUACGGGAGGCAGCAGUGGGGAAUAUUGGACAAUGGGCGCAAGCCUGAUCCAGCAAUGCCGCGUGAGUGAUGAAGGCCUCGGGUCGUAAAGCUCUUUACCCGGGUAUGAUAAUGACAGUACCGGGAGAAUAAGCUCCGGCUAACUCCGUGCCAGCAG